CGUGUUGUGUUUUCUUGCAUUCAGCUGCCAGCAUAUCUCUUUCCACCGCCACAUGAUUUCUGGUAUUAUAACAUCUCCUCAUUCAGUUGGCCCUCAAUCACCCACCAACGGUUACCGUUAUAACAUCCCCCAUCGCCGCCACGCGACACCACCAGAGAAAUUACCACAAGUAGAUGAAAGGUAGGUUCGUUAUCAAGCAGCUGAAGAUUUGGGGUUUUUUGAAUAUUAGUUCUGCAAUUUUUUACGAUUUAUUCUAUUGAUUCUCUAUGUAUUAGCUUUUUUUUUUAUGUAUUGCUGGAGUUUUACCUUAAACGGACUGAUUUAUAGAAUCAAAGUGAACUUUUGAUGUUCGAAUUGGGGAUAUUUUCUUGCAUUUAGGGUUUUCUUCAAGUGUUGAUUGGUUCUGCAAUUUUAUAGUUUAACUGAACUUAUGAUUGAUCUGUCCAAAAGCUGUAUCCCGAAUGAUAGAAUUACAGAAAGAGAUUCAUGGGCGGAGACACCGGCAGGCGGCGGCGACACGACACUCAUUCUAAUCAUGCAGUUUGUGACCUAAUUAUUCCUUGUGAAGAGAACCAUAAACGUUAUUUUGAUUUUCAAAGGAGAACUGGUGAUUUGCCUGUGCAAAAGGAGGGUGGAACCCAUACUUCAAGAAAUCUUUUCAAGCACUGGUGCUCUUCAAGGCUCCAAGCUCAUCAGUUUGGAUUUCAGUCAUCAUAUGGGUUUGUUGAUUACUUUGAACUGCGUUUUGCUGCUCUUGCUAUUGUCACCCUUAAUGGAAGACAUCCGUAAGUAAAAACCAUCAAUGUUUUCUGAAUGUCUUUUUGGUUGCCUUUGCAUAUAUCUAUCUGAUUUACUUUUAUGCAUUUUCUAAAGGAAUUAUAAUUUAAUCAAUUGUUUCAAAUUCUGCAAUCAUAUUUCAGGAAAUGACGAUCACCUUUUGACUUUAAAUUAAUGACUUCUGAUUUAAAAAGUAUAUUUGUUACAUAGUAUUGUUUUAUUACAAAAUCAGUACAACAUAGGACAUACUAAAAUUUUAAUUUGUAAGCUUGAUCCCUUGUAGCCGUUCUUGAGCCUGACUUAGCCCGAGUUCCGGUUCGGGCUCAAGCUCUAUGCUUAUCGCUCGAGUUAUGCAUGCAAAAAUUAUCGAAAGAUUUGUAAAAUGACGAAAUGCCAAUUAUUUGAACGCUUUACUCACUUCGAGAGAUGACAAAAAUGCCCUUUAAUCUACUCAAAUUUGUUUUGUCAAUCCAUCUAGAGCCAAUUAUUUCGAGUAAUUUCACUCUUCUCUGAAGACGCUACAUAGCGAUGGUGCUUGGUAAGGUUUUCAAGAUAUUAAAAUUUUUAGUUAAUUACAUAAUAGAUGUAUAUAUCAAUGGCUUUUUCUUGUCAAGAUUUGUAUCGAUUGGGAACAAUCAUGUUGGUUUUUGUCAUGGCAUGUAUGAGCUUUUCAUUUGAUAUUGUAGUCAAGAUCAGAGGGUGUAGCUACUUUUAGAUCUAAUAUAUUUGGCUCAUAUAUUUUACAUGUUUGUACUAAAAUAGGGAUGUUCGCGGAUGUGCGUUUAAAAAUGACUAUUUUUUUACAAUGUACUGAAUAGUUUUAAUUAGAUAAUCAAACAUGAUAAUGAUUUGUAGAAGGUGGUGUUUUUAAUUAGAUAAUCAAACAUGAUAAUGAUUUGUAGAAGGUGGUGUUUUUAAGAAGUAAAUCGAUGUAGAAACAUAAAAGUGCAACCAACAAUAGUAACAGGAGGCUUAACCAGCCAUUUUUUGAGAGUGCAUAGGGUAACAGAUAAUAUGCCCACAUCUGAAAACCCAAAAAAUGACAUUUUUUAGUUGUGAAAUGUGAGAUAAAGAAUUAAUUAUUAAUAUUUGUUGCAGAGCUCUUUAUGCGAAGUUUUUGUGAUUGUAAUUUGUUUAAUCGCUUAUGUACAUACAAAGAUUUAUAACACUAAUGUUACCAUAAUUACCUUGAAUAUUGCACAUGAGGUGAUUGUAAGACACUGACGCUUUGUCCAAAUUAGCCUAAGCUCCUAAGAUCUUGGAGAAACCAUUUGCUCUCUGAACGUUGCAAGUCGUGUGAGAGGAGUUGAGUAUGGGCCUGAGCGCAAACAAACAACAAGUCAUGUGAGAGGUGUUGAGUAUGGGCCAGAGCACAAACAAACAAAAAACACUGAGCUCCUCAAGUAUAAGAAGAUGGCAGGGAAAGCAAAAUCAUGACGAGAAAGAAGCAGAAAAAAUUGCAAGAAAGUUUACAAUAUAUGCAAAUACGUCUCUCUCUGCUAGAAAACACAUAGGUAGAACUCUGCAAGAAAAGGACUGAGGUAUUAUGUGUGCCGGAUGGGUUGCUUAUUGGUUUCGGAGUAGGAGCUUUUGAAGUUGGUUUGUCAAUUUUCUGUUUACGAUUUCUAUUUUUAAGGAUUUGUGUAUGAAUAUUGUUAGCCACAUUUGAUAAUAGAUUGAUGAUUUGGUUUCAUUAUUGCUGGUUGGUUUGAGUUC